GGUGAAUCAGACGAUAAGGGAAAAUAUUCAAGUACGCUGCCCACUGAAUAAGUUCUAAACUAAAACCAAUGAUUAAAAGAAAGUUUGACAUAAUGAAAGAACUUUUUCUUCAUUGUUAUUAUUGAUGAAAGUAGACUCUGGACUUCUUUUCUUAUCAUUAUCAUGUAAAGCUAGAAUCUACAUUUAACUUAUAGGGAAUAUGACCUUUACAUUAACUGGGGAAAAAAAAAUAAAAAUCUGAAUAGUCCUGAGCCACCAAUCCCAAUAAAGUUUCCCUUUCCCCUACAGGUAGCAUGAAAUGGAGCCAGGAUGACAGGGCCCCAUCUGAGCCAUGCCCAGCUCCCCCAGUCUGCACAAACCCACUCUAUCAAUCACGACUCCUCUUCAUGCAUGAUUGUAAGUUUGACAGGGACGUUUUCCUCCACAAACUUGCUGUGAAAGAUCUGCUUCCGGAGGCCACGGAUUUGUGUGUGGUGGAAUGGAGUUUUGCAGUAAAAGUGUGGCAUCUGGUGGUCCAGAGGAGAAAUGGCAGCCCACUCUGUGAAGAAAGAAAUGG
rnacentral:lncRNA from 1 species